rnacentral:rRNA from 1 species
GACGAACGCUGGCGGCGUGCUUAACACAUGCAAGUCGAACGGGCCUGUCUUCUUUUUUGGGGGUGGGUUGAGUGGCGAACGGGUGAGUAUCACGUGAGUAACCUGCCCUUCGGUCCUGGAUAACCGCUUGAAAGGGCGGCUAAUACGGGGUGGUCCGGUUGGUCCGCAUGGGCUGGUCGGGAUAGAUUCACUGUUUUUGGUGUUUCGGCGGGGGAUGGGCUCGCGGCCUAUCAGCUUGUUGGUGGGGUGAUGGCCUACCAAGGCGGUGACGGGGAGCCGGCCUGAGGGGGGGGGCGGCCACACGGGGACUGAGAUACGGCCCAGACUCCUGCGGGAGGCAGCAGUGGGGGGUAUUGCACAAUGGGCGGAAGCCUGAUGCAGCGACGUCGCGUGAGGGAUGGAGGCCUUCGGGUUGUGAACCUCUGUUUCCGGUGGUGAAGGCCCUGUCCGUGUGGUGGGGUUGACGGUAGCCGGGGAUGAAGCGCCGGCUAACUACGUG